GAUCUACUGGACGUAGCUAUCGUAGUGCAGCUACGCCGACUCCGCUCUGCAUCGAUGCGAUGAUAGCUGUGUAGUACGAUACAGCGACGAUCUAGCUGUCGAAGAUGACAGCAACUGACUGAGACCGUCAGACUCUACGAGCAGCAGUGGAUAUGCACAUGCGCAGCUGAUGCAGCAUGCGCGUGUAUGAGAGCUCUGUGUAGUACUCAGCGGAGACGAGUAAGUAUACUUUGCUCAUGACGUAGCGCAGAGAGCACUGCUACUCGUGCAGCAGCGCGUAUACGAGGUGCAGCGUAUCGAUACUGGCGUAAGCGCACGCAGCGUUUGUUAAGUCAGAUGUGAACCCGGCUCAUCUGGACUGCAUCUGAUACUGCAGCUUGAGUCUCGUAGAGGAGCGUAGAAUGCAGGUGUAGCGGUGAAAUGCGUAGAGAUCUGGAGGAAUACCGGUGGCGAAGGCGGCUCCCUGGACGAAGACUGACGCUCAGGUGCGAAAGCGUGGGGAGCAAACAGGAUUAGAUACCCUGGUAGUGCACGCCGUAAACGAUGUCGACUUGGAGGUUGUGCCCUUGAGGCGUGGCUUCCGGGGCUAACGCGUUAAGUCGACCGCCUGGGGAGUACGGCCGCAAGGUUAAAACUCAAAUGAAUUGACGGGGGCCCGCACAAGCGGUGGAGCAUGUGGUUUAAUUCGAUGCAACGCGAAGAACCUUACCUGGUCUUGACAUCCACGGAAGUUUUCAGAGAUGAGAAUGUGCCUCCGGGAACCGUGAGACAGGUGCUGCAUGGCUGUCGUCAGCUCGUGUUGUGAAAUGUUGGGUUAAGUCCCGCAACGAGCGCAACCCUUAUCCUUUGUUGCCAGCGGUCCGGCCGGGAACUCAAAGGAGACUGCCAGUGAUAAACUGGAGGAAGGUGGGGAUGACGUCAAGUCAUCAUGGCCCUUACGGCCGGGGCGACUUACGGGCGGCAAUGGCGCAUACAAAGAGAAGCGACCUCGCGAGAGCAAGCGGACCUCAUAAAGUGCGUCGUAGUCCGGAUUGGAGUCUGCAACUCGACUCCAUGAAGUCGGAAUCGCUAGUAAUCGGGAUCAGAACGCACGAAUCCGUCC
rnacentral:rRNA from 1 species